UUUUAUAUCUUGGUCUUACAACUACAACAUAUUUUGUGUUGAAUUUGCCCAAUACGACUCGAUCAUCCAUUGGAUUUCUUGGCGCGUGAAUAUGGAUAAACAGGUAUAGUUCCAUGCACGAGGUAAUCCUUUCCCUUGGAAUAAGAGUCAAUUUA